CUCCUACAGAGGGAGGUGCCUUUCACAGCUGAAGGCCUCUACUCAAGCAGGAGUGUUGGAAUCACAGAUGCACACUACUGAUUCCAGCUUUAUGUGGUUUCUGGAAUUCCAGCUCAAUUUCUCACAGCAAGAGGACAAACCACGGGAUUCUAGGUCCUAGAAGCUGCUGGGUCAUGUCGCCUCGGGCACAACAUAGCAGAGCACCC